rnacentral:rRNA from 1 species
GACGAACGCUGGCGGCGUGCUUAACACAUGCGAGUCGAACGGAAAGGCCCUGCUUUUGUGGGGUGCUCGAGUGGCGAACGGGUGAGUAACACGUGAGUAACCUUCCCUUGACUUUGGGAUAACUUCAGGAAACUGGGGCUAAUACCGGAUAGGAGCUCCUGCUGCAUGGUGGGGGUUGGAAAGUUUCGGCGGUUGGGGAUGGACUCGCGGCUUAUCAGCUUGUUGGUGGGGUAGUGGCUUACCAAGGCUUUGACGGGUAGCCGGCCUGAGAGGGUGACCGGCCACAUUGGGACUGAGAUACGGCCCAGACUCCUACGGGAGGCAGCAGUGGGGAAUAUUGCACAAUGGGCGGAAGCCUGAUGCAGCAACGCCGCGUGCGGGAUGACGGCCUUCGGGUUGUAAACCGCUUUCGCCUGUGACGAAGCGUGAGUGACGGUAAUGGGUAAAGAAGCACCGGCUAACUACGUG